rnacentral:piRNA from 1 species
GGCAAACCUUUUGGCCUUAAACUUGCA